AAAUCUGUGUUUCUAUUUUCGUUAUCUAAUGCCGGCCAGUUAAUUAUACGUCAGCUUGUACACCUAAAUUCGGCCAAUCAUAUCACGUCAAUCAUUUUUUUUGGGUCAUAGCAUCUUGAUUCAUAUGUCGCAGCUUAUAUACGCAACGGUUAAUAAUUCACCCGGAACCUUCUAAAGACGUCGAGGGGUACACUUCAGGACCAGCCGUACACUCGGCUACACACCCAGCUGUAAUGGAGCCUCUCUGUUGUGUGCCCAAAUCUCAAAGAGAAAAAAAAUCCUACUGUGGACACUGGACAGACUUUCCACCGUUUCCUCAAAGGGCAGGCACUUCGGCGUGAAUGGAUAAAUCAUCCAGAGGGAAUCUGGUCCAUAUUUCAAGAUCAACGCUGAGACCAAGGUUUGCUCUGAACACUUUGAGAAGCAGUGCUUUGUGAAGACCGCCUGUGGAAUCACAAAGCUUAUAAAGCAUGCUGUGCCAACCUUGUUCGUCUGGACUUCAGAGAGGCCAAAGAUGAGAAUCAUCAUUCGUAGACCGAGUAUGGAUUCCAUGGAGGUGGAUGAAAACCAGCCUGAUGAGAGAAGGGAUGCCUUGAGCAGAGGUACCUCCUCUACACCCGUACCAUGAUUAUGCUGUUCCACCACCAGAGGCCAGAGACACCAGAGGAACAACUUGAGGCGGCUCGCAAGCACAUCAUUGAGCAAGACAAGUUAAUAGCACAACUUAAAGAUAAAAGUGUUCAGUGUGUCGGGAUUCCAGUGUGAUGAUGGUCAGAUGUCAUUUUACACAGGAUUCCCAGACUAUGCCACCUUUAAAGCUGUAUAUAUGGCUCUACAGCCCACAGCCACAGGCAUGGUUGGAUGGAGUCAGGCUCAAAGGCUUACACAAACAGAGGUACAGGUCAUCAGAAAGGCAUUUAAUAUCCCUAAACUAGCAAUUAUGGACCAGUUCUUUCUCUUCCUCUGUCGUCUCAGACAAGGUUUUGCUGAGCAGUGCACUUUGGUGUGUCACAGUCAACUGUGAGCAGAAUCUGUGUCACCUGGGCUAACUAUCUAUACUUCAUGUUAGGAGUAGAUUAAUGUAUGCCUACUUGUUUUCAAAACACUUACCCAGACACCAGAGUCAUUCUAGACUGUACAGAAAUAUAUGUGCAAACGCCUAGUUUGUAGGUACUUGACUCCGAAAUCUAUUCCCAUUACAAGGACAACCCAACUUUCAAAGGCCUGAUUGGAAUUGCCCCGUCUGGUGAGGUGUCAUUCGUUAGUGACCUGUACACAGGCUCCAUAUCCGAGAAGGAGAUUACAGAAUUGUCCGGCAUCCUAGCAAUGCUUGAAGAAGGCGAUUUAAGUCAUGGCAGACAAAGGGUUUCUAAUUAAGGAAAUGCUAUCAAAAUUAAAUGUCUCCCUUGUGACUCCACCCUUUUUAGGCCCAAGUGGCACUUUCAGU